UACGUAGGGUGCGAGCGUUAAUCGGAAUUACUGGGCGUAAAGCGUGCGCAGGCGGUUGUGCAAGACAGAUGUGAAAUGCCCGGGCUUAACCUGGGAACUGCAUUUGUGACUGCAUGGCUAGAGUUUGGCAGAGGGGGGUAGAAUUCCACGUGUAGCAGUGAAAUGCGUAGAUAUGUGGAGGAACACCGAUGGCGAAGGCAGCCCCCUGGGUCAAGACUGACGCUCAUGCACGAAAGCGUGGGGAGCAAACAGG
rnacentral:rRNA from 1 species